GAUGAACGCUGGCGGCGUGCCUAAUACAUGCAAGUCGAGCGAACGGACGAGAAGCUUGCUUCUCUGAUGUUAGCGGCGGACGGGUGAGUAACACGUGGAUAACCUACCUAUAAGACUGGGAUAACUUCGGGAAACCGGAGCUAAUACCGGAUAAUAUUUUGAACCGCAUGGUUCAAAAGUGAAAGACGGUCUUGCUGUCACUUAUAGAUGGAUCCGCGCUGCACUAGCUAGUUGGUAAGGUAACGGCUUACCAAGGCAACGAUGCAUAGCCGACCUGAGAGGGUGAUCGGCCACACUGGAACUGAGACACGGUCCAGACUCCUACGGGAGGCAGCAGUAGGGAAUCUUCCGCAAUGGGCGAAAGCCUGACGGAGCAACGCCGCGUGAGUGAUGAAGGUCUUCGGAUCGUAAAACUCUGUUAUUAGGGAAGAACAUAUGUGUAAGUAACUGUGCACAUCUUGACGGUACCUAAUCAGAAAGCCACGGCUAACUACGUGCCAGCAGCCGCGGUAAUACGUAGGUGGCAAGCGUUAUCCGGAAUUAUUGGGCGUAAAGCGCGCGUAGGCGGUUUUUUAGUCUGAUGUGAAAGCCCACGGCUCAACCGUGGAGGGUCAUUGGAAACUGGAAAACUUGAGUGCAGAAGAGGAAAGUGGAAUUCCAUGUGUAGCGGUGAAAUGCGCAGAGGUAUGGAGGAACACCAGUGGCGAAGGCGACUUUCUGGUCUGUAACUGACGCUGAUGUGCGAAAGCGUGGGGAUCAAACAGGAUUAGAUACCCUGGUAGUCCACGCCGUAAACGAUGAGUGCUAAGUGUUAGGGGGUUUCCGCCCCUUAGUGCUGCAGCUAACGCAUUAAGCACUCCGCCUGGGGAGUACGACCGCAAGGUUGAAACUCAAAGGAAUUGACGGGGACCCGCACAAGCGGUGGAGCAUGUGGUUUAAUUCGAAGCAACGCGAAGAACCUUACCAAAUCUUGACAUCCUUUGACAACUCUAGAGAUAGAGCCUUCCCCUUCGGGGGACAAAGUGACAGGUGGUGCAUGGUUGUCGUCAGCUCGUGUCGUGAGAUGUUGGGUUAAGUCCCGCAACGAGCGCAACCCUUAAGCUUAGUUGCCAUCAUUAAGUUGGGCACUCUAAGUUGACUGCCGGUGACAAACCGGAGGAAGGUGGGGAUGACGUCAAAUCAUCAUGCCCCUUAUGAUUUGGGCUACACACGUGCUACAAUGGACAAUACAAAGGGCAGCGAAACCGCGAGGUCAAGCAAAUCCCAUAAAGUUGUUCUCAGUUCGGAUUGUAGUCUGCAACUCGACUACAUGAAGCUGGAAUCGCUAGUAAUCGUAGAUCAGCAUGCUACGGUGAAUACGUUCCCGGGUCU
rnacentral:rRNA from 1 species